rnacentral:pre_miRNA from 7 species
UCUUCAGAGACAUGGGUGGUCAGGACGGUCCCAGACGAGCCCCCAAAUGAAAGAUUCUGAAAGGAGCCCCUCGCUCAGGCCUCAGGAAAAUAGCAGACACCCAAGAACUCACGAUAGACC